rnacentral:lncRNA from 1 species
CGACAUACAAAGCACUAUAUAACAAACUAUAAAUAAUCAAUUUUUUUUUUUUUGUGAUAACCCAGGUAUCCCAACGCUCGCGCUUGGACUAGCCACGUGGGCGGCCUAAAGGCACUCCACGUGUCGGCUCCUGGGAUGCUGCAGCCCAUAUGUGAAAUCCGCAGUGGUCGGGGCUCGAACUCGUGAUGGCGGGUACCACGUGUCGGCUCCUGUUUGUUGACUUUCUCUAGCCAUAACUACAAACGUAUAUAUAUAUAUAUAAAAGAGAAUUUCCAACACAUCAAGCAUUACUCUAAUGCACAGAACACAUGCAUGAAACAAUA